ACGGGAGGCAGCAGUGGGGAAUCUUCCGCAAUGGGCGAAAGCCUGACGGAGCAACGCCGCGUGAGUGAAGAAGGUUUUCGGAUCGUAAAGCUCUGUUGUCAGGGACGAUAAGUGAGUUCAGGAAAUGGGACUCAUAGGACGGUACCUGGCGAGAAAGCCACGGCUAACUACGUGCCAGCAGCCGCGGUAAUACGUAUGUGGCGAGCGUUGUCCGGAAUUAUUGGGCGUAAAGGGAGCGUAGGUGGGAAGGUAAGUCAGUCUUAAAAGUGCGGGGCUCAACCCCGUGAUGGGAUUGAAACUACUUUUAUUGAGUGCAGGAGAGGAAAGCGGAGUUCCUAGUGUAGCGGUGAAAUGCGUAGAUAUUAGGAGGAACACCAGUGGCGAAGGCGGCUUUCUGGACUGUAACUGACACUGAGGCUCGAAAGCGUGGGGAGCGAACAGGAUUAGAUACCCUGGUA
rnacentral:rRNA from 1 species